rnacentral:rRNA from 1 species
GACGUAGGGCGCGAGCGUUGUCCGGAUUUAUUGGGCGUAAAGAGCUCGUAGGCGGCUUGUCGCGUCGACUGUGAAAAUCCCGCGGCUCAACCGCGGGUCUGCAGUCGAUACGGGCAGGCUAGAGUUCGGUAGGGGAGACUGGAAUUCCUGGUGUAGCGGUGAAAUUCGUAGAUAUCGGGAGGAACACCGGUGGCGAAGGCGG